AGGAUAUUCAGUCCUACCAGGAUACCAGGAUAUUUCAGUCCUACCAGGAUAUUCAGUCCUACCAGGAUAUUUAGUCCUACCAGGAUAUUCAGUCCUACCAGGAUACCAGGAUAUUCAGUCCUACCAGGAUAUUCAGUCCUACCAGGAUAUUCAGUCCUAUCAUGCUGGCUCCAUCCUCUCUAAAUUAUGUUAAGUAAAAUAACCUCAUGCACAUCAUUUCUAAGCAGGCAAAAUUACAUUUUUUUUGCAAACAAAACGUUUAUUGUGCAUCAUGUGAAAAUGUCAACUAGAUGUGUCUAUAUUCUUAUUUUAUUAUACAUGAAUAACAUAUUUAACAUGGUUGCAUAUUCUGGGCAUUAUUAAUGUAAUCAUAUAUUCAAAACAAAGUUUAGCUUUUUUACUUACGUGCAUAACACAUAGCUUAUCAUAUCAACCAAUACAUAUGGAUAAACAUGGGUUACAAAUCCAGGCAUAUUUACAACAUAACAUUGUAUACAUUCAUUCACAUUGAUCCAGUGCAAACACAAUAAGACAGAGAAGCACUGCUCUUCCCUGUAGGUAUAGGUCACGUGACAGUUGUUGGGUUGUGACACCUCUGUUAGUCACAAUAUGUUAACGCAAUCAAAUAUACAAUCUACACCAGUACAGUCAGACAGACUAGUGUCCUGUCCAGGGUGUGUACUAGUACAUUAAUAUAUACCAGUAUAGACAGACAGACUAGUGUCCUGUCCAGGGGGUGUACUAGUACAUUAAUAUAUACCAGUAUAGUCAGACAGACUAGUGUCCUGUCCAGGGGGUGUACUAGUACAUUAAUAUAUACCAGUAUAGUCAGACAGACUAGUGUCCUGUCCAGGGGGUGUACUAGUACAUUAAUAUAUACCAGUAUAGACAGACAGACUAGUGUCCUGUCCAGGGGGUGUACUAGUACAUUAAUAUAUACCAGUAUAGUCAGACAGACUAGUGUCCUGUCCAGGGGGUGUACUAGUACAUUAAGUUGCCUCACGCUUCAGAAACAGGAGACAGGCUCCUGCCCUUUGGGCCGCUCUGGCUUGGACAAGGCUUCCUUAUUUUGGCAGUAUGCUCACCGAGUAAGACACUGAUCUAGAGAGAUACUACUCCUAUGAUUAAUCACUCUAUGGCUGUGUGCUCCAAAUGGCACCCUAUUCCCUACAUAGUACACUACUUUUAACCACAGCCCUAUGGGCUCUGGUCAAUAGUAGUGCAGUAUAUAGGGAAUAGGGUGCCUUACCUUUUGGGACGCCUGCCUACAUCAGUGAUUAAUUAAUACAACCUUAGUUCUCCAGAGGGAUGAACGGUUCAUAGUUAACUAUGUGCUGAACGUAAUGAGAUGGCAGAUUACCUCAUCAUAUUAACAAGAGACUGGAAACAGAGUUGGAAACCAAUUAGGAACAUGCAUCAACACUUCUCUCCUCUAUUGCCAGCAGUAUGAUUAUGAAGAACAAAAAAUAAACAACAGAAUUCUCUACUUUUAAAUGAAAGGGAACAUUCUAGGCUAGGGAACAUUCUAGGCUAGGGAACAUUCCAGGCUAGGGAACAUUCCAGGCUAGGGAACAUUCUAGGCUAGGGAACAUUCCAGGCUAGGGAACAUUCCAGGCUAGGGAACAUUCUAGGCUAGGGAACAUUCUUUCAGCUAGUUUAAGCUAUGUUCAUAUUCCAGAUGCACAACCAUCCCAUAGAUCAUGUGGAAUUAUACCUACUGUAAAUGAUACCUACUGUAAAUGAUACAUACUGUAACCGAUACCUACUGUAAAUGGUACCUACUGUAAAUGAUACCUACUGUAAAUGAUACAUACUGUAAAUGAUAUGAUACAUACUGUAAAUGAUACAUACUGUAAAUGAUACAUACUGUAAAUGAUACGGCAGGCUUACGCCAUGACCUCUCUGUUAAAGACAGUUAAUUCCUCUGAUUUGCCUCCAACACCUCUGUCCCUAAUCUCCUUGUUUCUUUCUAAAGGCCUUGGUUAGAAGGUUUCCCCCUGCAGGUCAACUGUUGGUUGGUGAGCGAGGUAGUAGCGAGGUAACAGCAAAACAGAAACGUUGGAAGAAUAUUCAUCAGGUAGCUAAGCGCCUUCACAUGAAGUUUUAGCUGCUGUAUGGGCACGAGCCAUACUCUGGUGAAACUCAGAGAGAUGUGUUCUAGAGGGUCAUUGGGGAUCUAAGAACGUAUUAGUUUGACAGGAGGGAGGCGGAUUGAUAUAGAUUUCUGUAAUGAAAAACUUUUGAGGAAUCCACAGUGGAGCUUAACACAAUUAAAUCCACUCAACUCCCAGCAGGGAGGAGAACAGAUGGAGAGAUUUGAUGUUUCUGUACUAUAUUAUCUGGAGACAAUCUCUUUAUGAUAUGACCUUUAGGCUUAUAGGGGAGGACAGGGGUGAGAGGGUCAAGCCUGAGAGACUGGUGCUCUACUCUACACAAUAAUUUAUACAUUGUCUUACUUGCUGUGUGGGGUUAUUUGGUGCAAAAUCAAUGACGAGCGCCAGCAUUUUUUUGUGAAGAGGGGAAUAGGACUAAACAGGAAAUUCAAUAUCCCUGCUACUGGGAGGAGUCAGAAUGUGUUCCAUCUGAUACUACUGGGAGGAGUCAGAAUGUGUUCCAUCUGAUACUACUGGGAGGAGUCAGAAUGUGUUCCAUCUGAUACAACUGGGAGGAGUCAGAAUGUGUUCCAUCUGAUACAACUGGGAGGAGUCAGAAUGUGUUCCAUCUGAUACUAGCGGGAGGAGUCAGAAUGUGUUCCAUCUGAUACUAGCGGGAGGAGUCAGAAUGUGUUCCAUCUGAUACUACUGAGAGGAGUCAGAAUGUGUUCCAUCUGAUACUACUGGGAGGAGUCAGAAUGUGUUCCAUCUGAUACUAGUGGGAGGAGUCAGAAUGUGUUCCAUCUGAUACUACUGGGAGGAGUCAGAAUGUGUUCCAUCUGAUACUACUGGGAGGAGUCAGAAUGUGUUCCAUCUGAUACUACUGGGAGGAGUCAGAAUGUGUUCCAUCUGAUACUAGUGGGAGGAGUCAGAACCCUGAAAAUGAUCCUCUUAGUAUUUUCAUGUUUAAAUUGAACAACAAAGUUAAACUAAAUAUGUGAUAUUUGUAUAUAGAGUAGAGACACUAACGUAACGGGAGCCAUUGGAGAGAAGAUUCAAUAUGAACGUACUAUUUAUAUGUAGAUACAGAUUGAUAUUGAAAUACUAACGGAAUGAGAGCUACUGAAGAUCUGCAAUAUCUUCAGUAACAAUGGGAAGAAUGCCAACCAACACUGUCUCUUCUGUAGCUCAGUCUUUGUUUCCGUGGCUAGGGGCUCAGAGAAGCUCAGACAGAGAAAUGCCACGUCCCAAACCUGUAGACUGGAAAGGUCAGUGUCUUGGCCACUACAGACCUUUCACAGGGUCAGGAUGUUGACAUUUUGUUCAAUUCUCUCACUUUAUCCCCAGGAUCUCAGCAGGAUUUGGCCAGUAUUGCUUAUUGUGUGAAGUUUCUUCAGUUGUUUUUAGUUUAGUCCUAUUUCUAGACCUUCUCCUGUUUAGAUCAGGAAGCUGGCCAGCUCAGAUUCAGUUGAAGGGAUCUCCUGCUCAGUUCAACAUGACAUAGAAAGAUCACUGUUUGUAUGUUCACAGACACAUUCAUCAGCCUAGUUUUAUGCCAAAAGGAUGAACAGAAAUGCAACAUCAUGUUUUGAGGAAGGUAAUGUACAAAACCCAUACAGUCCCUCUCAUGAACACUCCCUCCAUCUGGUUCGAAAGACCAUGGAAAAAAGGUUACCACCUCUUUCGGAGACAACCGAAUACAAGAUGGCAUUUGUUUUCCAGUAGAGUAUUCCCUUCGCCCUAGAAAACAUAGGUAGCCGAGAUGUCAUACUUAUACAAACUAUAUACUGUUCCCUCUUCCAGGCUCUACUGUACAAUCUCAAUGGUACACACACACAACAUGAACUGACGAUAUGUUUAAAGAUAAGAGAACUAUUCACAACACAAGCAACUGUACAAACGGUCUGCUACUUUAUACAAGGAUAUAGACAGCAUUGUGAUGAGCUACUCUCAAGACAGCUAGCUGUCUGUCUGUCUGCUUCGGGUUAAUUAUUUUUUAACUACGAACCAGCAACUACGAUUUAGAACAUAUUAUACAGAAAGGGCUUUGUACCCAAAUGGCACCCUAUUCCCUAUAUAGUGCACAACUUUUGAUUAGGACCCAUAGAGAAUAGGGUGCCAGUUGGGAUGCAGGGAAGGUUCCUUCAGGGAAGGUUUUUAGGGAGUCAAGCCUUGUCAUAAUAAUGCUUUGUGAUGUAGGGUAGCUACGCCUCAUAGAAUCCCAUUUAUUGCUUCGCCUGAUAUUUUUCAUUCAUCUUUUUUCUAUUACAUUGAAUAAGAAUCAUUAUAUCCACAUUUAUAUCUGUUCCUUUUGUCUUUUCAUCAGACAUUACUAAUAUUGAAAAAACAUGAGUUUAGAAAUAAUGUUUCUUGGAAGAGCUUACAAUUAGGUGCAAAACAAUAUAAACAUAUAUCUCAUUGAAUGCAACCUAAGAUUCAGGUAUAAGUGAAUGUAAUGUCAAUAUUUCCAGACGUGGAUCUGUUCCAUUUUAAACAGACAUCCUGAGAGGUUGAACCAACAGCGUAUCAAUAAUAAAUAGCUUUACCCCCCACUCUAUAGUGCUGUAGUUGUGACAGACUGGCUGUCUGCUGGUGUUCAACAGAUUCUUCCCUGCUUUUCAUUCUCACUCAGUUGUGGAGAGGAACCCAGACUGUCUUUAGCGUCCCGUGUACACAAAAUCUGAAGAGAGCAAGACAAAUAAAGGCACAUUUAGUCAAAUAUUAUGUCAAACACAUGUACUAAAUGUACCCUUCCGUAUGAUUAAGUUGUUUAGACGGUUUAGGGGAUUAUCG
rnacentral:lncRNA from 1 species